rnacentral:rRNA from 1 species
AUUGAACGCUGGCGGCAGGCCUAACACAUGCAAGUCGAGCGAGCGGCGGACGGGUGAGUAAUGUAUGGGGACUGCCCGAUAGAGGGGGAUAACUACUGGCAACGGUGGCUAAUACCGCAUACUAUCGGAUAACCCAUAUGGGAGUAGCUAGUAGGUGGGGUACAGGCUCACCUAGGCGACGAUCUCUAGCUGGUCUGAGAGGAUGAUCAGUCACACGGUGACGGGGACACGGACCAGACUCCUACGGAGGCAGCGUUGGGGAAUAUUGCACAAGGGGCAGAAGCCUGAUGCAGCCAAGCCGCGUGUAUGAGGAAGGCCAUAGGGUUGUAAAGUACUUUCAGCGUGGAGGCGUUACCCGCAGAAGAAGCACCGGCUAACUCCGUGCCAGCAGCCGCGGUAAUUC